rnacentral:tRNA from 2 species
GCCGACAUAGCUCAAUUGGUAGAGCACCGCACUUGUAAUGCGGGGGUUGAGGGUUCGAGUCCCAUUGUCGGCU